rnacentral:rRNA from 1 species
AUUGAACGCUGGCGGCAGGCCUAACACAUGCAAGUCGAGCGAGCGGCGGACGGGUGAGUAAUGUAUGGGAAACUGCCUGAUGGAGGGGGCUAACUACUGGAAACGGUAGCUAAUACCGCAUACCAUCAGAUGUGCCCAGAUGGGAUGAGCUAGUAGGUGGGGUAAAGGCGCACCUAGGCGACGAUCCCUAGCUGGGCUGAGAGGAUGAUCAGCCACACUGGGACUGAGACACGGCCCAGACUCCUACGGGAGGCAGCAGUGGGGAAUAUUGCACAAUGGGCGCAAGCCUGAUGCAGCCAUGCCGCGUGUGUGAAGAAGGCCUUCGGGUUGUAAAGCACUUUCAGUGAGGAGGCGUUACCCACAGAAGAAGCACCGGCUAACUCCGUGCCAGCAGCCGCGGUAAUAC